GCUUGUCUCAAAGAUUAAGCCAUGCAUGUCUAAGUAUAAAUAACUACACAGUAAAACUGCGAAUGGCUCAUUAAAACAGUUAUAGUUUAUUUGAUACAUUUUAAAUGGAUAACUGUAGAAACACUAGAGCUAAUACAUGCAAAAAAACCCAGACUUACGAAUGGGUGCACUUAUUAGAUAAAGCCAACGCUGGGUAAAACCAGUUUCCCUUGGUGAUUCAUAAUAAUUAAGCGGAUCGCAUGGCCUUGUGCUAGCGACAGUCCACUCGAUUUUCUGCCCUAUCAUGGUUGAGAUUGUAAGAUAGAGGCUUACAAUGCCUACAACGGGUAACGGGGAAUUAGGGUUCGAUUCCGGAGAGGGAGCCUGAGAAACGGCUACCACAUCCAAGGAAGGCAGCAGG
rnacentral:rRNA from 1 species